CCCCUAGAGUUUUACGCAGUGUUAUACAAGUUCAGUGCAGUACUGUAGUUUUCCUGUAGGGGCCACUGUAUGAUCUGGUUAAUAGAGACGUAAAGAUUAGGAGAAGGAGACUGAUCGUAGCUGGUACGCACGAGGUGAUUUAGCGCUGCAUUUGAAAUAUUAUAAUUAUAACUUCACAAAAGUACUUUUCUGAUGUUUAAAUGUGUAAACUUUUCAUAUAAAUUGCAGUAUGUUCAUGGGUUUCAAAAGGAAAUCGAAUUCACAUUGAUGUUGAUUGAGAAGUUAUUUCUGCGAACUCUGACUGUUUUUUUGUUGUUGCCCGAUUCCAUCCGGUGACCUGAUCAACUGUGAGCUUAUGUGAGCUAUGGCUAGCCAGACCCUGUGAUUCUGUGAAGGCCUUACUGUUUACGUUCAACUCGAACCUGUCUUCAUCGAGGGAUUCUUUCCAAUUACAGCUAAGCUGUCAUUUUACACACACUACCCGGGUAGUAGGGAAAAGAAGGCCUUAUACAUACAUUCGUUUUAUACCACUCACCAACUUGCGAAGGAACCAGGAGGACUUUUGGACAUUUUCUUUUCUUUACUUUAUUUUCUUCUUUCUCGGACCUUUUAUGCACAACCUGGACUAAAUAUCGAAUUUUUCCCAUUCCAGCAGUGUUGUGUUGGGACGAUACAGCAAAGUAUUAACUUGUUUCUUCUAUUAUUUUUUUUUUUCUGUUUAUAUGUGCAAUAAAUGUGCUGGCUGUUACCUGCUUCAUACCAUUUGGCCCAAAUUUCAUUUUUAUCCUCCCAAGAGUCGAACCUAGCCCUAUACCUAUUCAGAGUAAUAUAACAUAGUGUUAUACUGACAAUUGUUGCCGUGUUACAACUUUUUUCUACCACAUCUUUUCCUUCCCUUCACCUCUCUAUUAAUGUGCUUGGACACAGAGCUCUGUGAACAGCCAGCCUCUUUUGCAAUGACCUUUUGUGUCUUGCCCUCCUUGUGCAAGGUGUCAAUGGUCGUCUUUUGGACAACUGUCAAGUCAGCAGUCUUCCCCAUGAUUGUGUAGCCUACAGAACUAGACUGAGAGACCAUUUAAAGGCCUUUGCAGGUGUUUUGAGUUAAUUAGCUGAUUAGAGUGUGGCACCAGGUGUCUUCAAUCUUGAACCUUUUCACAAUAUUCUAAUUUUCUGAGAUACUAAAUUUGGGAUUUUCCUUAGUUGUCAGUUAUAAUCAUCAAAAUUAAAAUAAAUAAACAUUUGAAAUA